rnacentral:rRNA from 1 species
UAGGGAAUCUUCCACAAUGGACGCAAGUCUGAUGGAGCAACGCCGCGUGAGCGAAGAAGAUCUUCGGAUCGUAAAACUCUGUUGUUAGAGAAGAACACGAGUGAGAGUAACUGUUCAUUCGAUGACGGUAUCUAACCAGCAAGUCACGGCUAACUACGUGCCAG